AGGGACAACUGGAUUAGGAGCCUCAGUCUUG
rnacentral:misc_RNA from 1 species